GAUGAAGAACGUAGCGAAAUGCGAUAAGUAGUGUGAAUUGCAGAAUUCAGUGAAUCAUCGAAUCUUUGAACGCACAUUGCGCCCUUUGGUAUUCCAAAGGGCAUGCCUGUUCGAGCGUCAUUUGUACCCUCAAGCUUUGCUUGGUGUUGGGCGUCUUGUCUCUAGCUUUGCUGGAGACUCGCCUUAAAGUAAUUGGCAGCCGGCCUACUGGUUUCGGAGCGCAGCACAAGUCGCACUCUCUAUCAGCAAAGGUCUAGCAUCCAUUAAGCCUUUUUUUCAACUUUUGACCUCGGAUCAGGUAGGGAUACCCGCUGAACUUGAGCAUAUCAAUAAGCGGAGGA
rnacentral:misc_RNA from 1 species